rnacentral:lncRNA from 1 species
AAAAAAAUAUUUAUCUCUCGUUAUUAUGGAGUGUCUUGACAAAAAAUGUUGUUUCCUAUGGGGUUUACUUCGUAAUAACUAGUUGUCUGAGGUGUGGCAAUUUAAUCUAUUAAAUAUGGAAACAAUCUUUAUGUUUGCUUAGGAUUUUUUCUUAAUGAUCUUGUUUUGAAGCCAUGUUUAUUUUUUGGCUUUCUUCUUCUAUAACUUUUUGCCAAUUUGCCUCCCCUAGUUUAUCUCAUAGUUUACUUACCUUUUCAAGCAUUGAUAAUUUUGUUAAAUCAUAAAUGCGAACACUCCAAUCACCCCUGCUGUUGCUUAGUUAGGAAACGAACCUUUUUUCUGCUUCCUCCUCCCACUUUUUAUAUUGGGCCUAAAGACCCUAGUUGUAGGCUUUCAAAUAGGUUCGGUCCAACACAAGACUUUUGGGCCCGACUUUGGGCUGAGAUUUAACAAUUUGGAUUGGGCUUGAUCUUAAGUCUUGAAGCUUUCGAGUAACUCUUGGCCCAGCACAAGAUCAAACUAAAUCCUGAAAAUGGUAUAAAUUAGGUAUAAAAUGUAUUAUUGUUAAAUACAUAUAAAGAGUAUCGGCCAUUCAUCUGAUGGAUGGCUACAUUGACUCUCAAAUUUUAAUUUUGAGAAGAAAUCCUACUUUACUCAGCCUAUGUGUCUUCUCCCUAGUCCACCUCCUCUCCUUUGACAGCCUUCCCAACUCCUCCCCUCAUCUUCCUGCCCUCCUCCCCUCAGUGCUCUAUCCUUUGCAACCUUCAUUUACUCUUCUGAAUCACUCCAUCCUCCACCUUUCACCCUCCUUCACUUCUUCCUCCAAUCACUCCAUCCUCCACCCUCCUCCUCCAUCAAUCCCUCC